ACCCUAUAGAGUUUGACAUCUAAGUUUCUUUCGAUUAUUUGUUUGUUUUAAUUUUAUUAAGUGAUUUAGGUGUUUUGUUGGGGUGAUGGGAGGAAUUUAUUUAACUCCUCUUUAUUUGGCAUAUUUAUUUAUAAUUUCUUGAUCCAUUUAUGUUGAUUAUAAGAUUAAAUUACCUUAGGGAUAACAGCGUUAUCUUCCUUGAGAGUUCUUAUUGGCGGGGAGGUUUGCGACCUCGAUGUUGGAUUAAGGUGAAUUUUCGGUGUAGGAGCUGAAAGUGAUUGGGUCUGUUCGACCUUUAAAAUCUUACAUGAUCUGAGUUCAGACCGGCGUGAGCCAGGUUGGUUUCUAUCUAUAAUGUUGUUUUAUACCUUAGUACGAGAGGACCGGGUAU
rnacentral:rRNA from 1 species